UCACCGCCCUGGACGAGGCACGGCGCGGGGGCAGCGUCGAGGACUACUCCGUCACGCAGACCACCCUCGAGGACGUGUUCAUGCGGUUUGCGCGGGCGCAGAGGGCGGAGCACCCUUAGGGGAGAAAGAGAGAAGAGACAUGGUAGGAUAAACAGACAGGUGUUGGUGUACUUACAACUACACUUCGAUAAACCUGUGUUUCAAAUUGCUCUUGUUAACCUGUGUUACCGUUGUCAUGUGGAGGGACCAAUUUUGUAAAUUAUUGACGAAUAAAUGUGUACAUUGUGCGUUUUGUUACAA